rnacentral:rRNA from 2 species
GAUUUUGGAUCCGACUGAGUGGCGAACUGGUGAGUAACACGUGGGUAACCUGCCCAGAAGAAGGGGAUAACACCUGGAAACAGAUGCUAAUACCGUAUAACAACAAGAACCACAUGGUUCUUGUUUGAAAGCUGGCCUUUGUGCUAGUGCUUCUGGAUGGACCCGCGGCGUAUUAGCUAGUUGGUGAGAUAAUAGCUCACCAAGGCAAUGAUACGUAGCAGACCUGAGAGGGUAAUCUGCCACAAUGGGACUGAGACACGGCCCAUACUCCUACGGGAGGCAGCAGUAGGGAAUCUUCCACAAUGGACGAAAGUCUGAUGGAGCAACGCCGCGUGAGUGAAGAAGGGUUUCGGCUCGUAAAACUCUGUUGUUAGAGAAGAACAGCCGUGAGAGCAACUGCUCACGGUAUGACGGUAUCUAACCAGAAAGUCACGGCUAACUACGUGCCAGCAGCCGCGGUAAUACGUAGGUGGCAAACGUUGUCCGGAUUUAUUGGGCGUAAAGGGAGCGCAGGCGGUUUAUUAAGUCUGAUGUGAAAGCCUUCGGCUUAACCGGAGAAGUGCAUCGGAAACUGAUAAACUUGAGUGCAGAAAAGGAUAGUGGAACUUCAUGUGUAGCGGUGAAAUGCGUAGAUAUAUGAAGGAACACCAGUGGCGAAGGCGGCUAUCUGGUCUGUAACUGACGCUGAGGCUCGAAAGCAUGGGUAGCAAACAGGAUUAGAUACCCUGGUAGUCCAUGCCGUAAACGAUGAAUGCUAGGUGUUGGAAGGUUUCCGCCU